rnacentral:rRNA from 1 species
GAUGAACGCUGGCGGCGUGCCUAAUACAUGCAAGUCGAGCGAACAGACGAGGAGCUUGCUCCUCUGACGUUAGCGGCGGACGGGUGAGUAACACGUGGAUAACCUACCUAUAAGACUGGGAUAACUUCGGGAAACCGGAGCUAAUACCGGAUAAUAUAUUGAACCGCAUGGUUCAAUAGUGAAAGACGGUUUUGCUGUCACUUAUAGAUGGAUCCGCGCCGCAUUAGCUAGUUGGUAAGGUAACGGCUUACCAAGGCAACGAUGCGUAGCCGACCUGAGAGGGUGAUAGGCAACACUGGAACUGAGACACGGGCCAGACUCCUAAGGGAGGCAGCAGUAGGGAAUCUUCCGCAAUGGGCGAAAGCAUGACGGAGCAACGCCGCGUGAGUGAUGAAGGUCUUCGGAUCGUAAAAAUCUGUUAUUAGGGAAGAACAAAUGUGUAAGUAACUAUGCACGUCUUGACGGUACCUAAUCAGAAAGCCACGGCUAACUACGUG